rnacentral:rRNA from 1 species
AUAGCGUAUAUUAAAGUUGUUGCAGUUAAAAAGCUCGUAGUUGAAUAUCUGGCCGGUGCUGUUCUUGGCUCCCUGAGUCGGUUCAGCGCCUGGUUAUCCGUAUGGGAAACUAGCUCGACCUUCACUGUGUCGGCUAGUGGAUCAUACACUUUACUUUGAAAAAAUUAGAGUGUUUCAGGCAGGCAAUUGCUUGGAUACUGUAGCAUGGAAUAAUGGAAUAGGACUUUGACCUAUUUGUUGGUUUCUCGAGGUCAAAGUAAUGAUUAAUAGGGACAGUUGGGGGCAUUCGUAUUUAAUUGUCAGAGGUGAAAUUCUUGGAUUUUUUAAAGACGAACUUAUG